rnacentral:rRNA from 1 species
GAUGAACGCUAGCGGCAGGCUUAAUACAUGCAAGUCGAGGGACAGCACAGGUAGCAAUACUGGGUGGUAACCGGCAAACGGGUGCGGAACACGUACACAACCUUCCUUUAAGUGGGGGAUAGCCCAGAGAAAUUUGGAUUAAUACCCCGUAAUAUAGUUGAAUGGCAUCAUCUGAUUAUUAUAGCUACGGCGCUUAAUGAUGGGUGUGCGGCUGACUAGAUAGUUGGCGGGGUAACGGCCCACCAAGUCUACGAUCAGUAGCUGAUGUGAGAGCAUGAUCAGCCACACGGGCACUGAGACACGGGCCCGACUCCUACGGGAGGCAGCAGUAAGGAAUAUUGGUCAAUGGACGCAAGUCUGAACCAGCCAUGCCGCGUGAAGGAUUAAGGUCCUCUGGAUUGUAAACUUCUUUUAUUUGGGACGAAAAAGGGUCUUUCUAGACCAACUGACGGUACCAGAUGAAUAAGCACCGGCUAACUCCGUGCCAGCCGCCGCAGUAACAC